rnacentral:rRNA from 1 species
AGGAGUUUUGAUCCUGGCUCAGAGCGAACGCUGGCGGCGUGCUUAACACAUGCAAGUCGAGCGAAGAUGUUUCGGGGGUAACCCUGGGAUAUACUGAGCGGCGAACGGGUGAGUAAUGCGUGGAUAACUUGCCUUUAGGACUGGGAUAACCCCGGGAAACUGGGACUAAUACCAGAUAAGACCACGGUGUUUAAGGACACAGGGGUAAAAGGUGGCUAGGCAACUAGCUAUCACCUAUAGAGAGGUUCACGUCCCAUCAGGCUGUUGGUGAGGUGAUGGCUCACCAAACCUAAGACGGGUAGCCGGCCUUGGCGGGUGAACGGCCACACGGGGACUGAGACACGGCCCCGACUCCUACGGGAGGCAGCAGUGGGGAAUAUUGGGCAAUGGGCGAAAGCCUGACCCAGCGACGCCGCGUUGGGGAAGAAGGCCUUCGGGUUGUAAACCCAUGUCAGGAGGAACGAUGGAUCUGUGGGCUAAUAUCUCACAGAUUUGACGGUACCUCCAGAGGAAGCCCCGGCUAACUCCGUGCCAGCAGCCGCGGUAAUACGGAGGGGGCUAGCGUUGCUCGGAAUUACUGGGCGUAAAGGGUCCGCAGAUGGCUUCGUAAGUUAGAUGUGAAAGCUUAAGGCUCAACCUUAAAAUUGCAUCUAAAACUGUGGAGCUAGAGUCCAGGAGAGGUUGGCGGAAUUCCCGGUGUAGCGGUGAAAUGCGUAGAUAUCGGGGAGGAACACCAGUGGCGAAGGCGGCCAACUGGCCUGGUACUGACAUUGAGGGACGAAA